rnacentral:rRNA from 1 species
CAUAUCAAUAAGCGGAGGAAAAGAAACCAACAGGGAUUGCCCCAGUAACGGCGAGUGAAGCGGCAACAGCUCAAAUUUGAAAUCUGGCCCCUAGGGUCCGAGUUGUAAUUUGUAGAGGAUGCUUUUGGUGAGGUGCCGCCCGAGUUCCCUGGAACGGGACGCCGCAGAGGGUGAGAGCCCCGUCUGGCUGGCCACCGAGCCUCUGUAAAGCUCCUUCGACGAGUCGAGUAGUUUGGGAAUGCUGCUCAAAAUGGGAGGUAUAUGUCUUCUAAAGCUAAAUAUUGGCCAGAGACCGAUAGCGCACAAGUAGAGUGAUCGAAAGAUGAAAAGCACCUUGAAAAGAGGGUUAAACAGUACGUGAAAUUGUUGAAAGGGAAGCGCUUGUGACCAGACUUGGGCGCGGCGGAUCAUCCGGGGUUCUCCCCGGUGCACUUCGCCGUGUUCAGGCCAGCAUCAGUUCGGCGCGGGGGAAAAAGGCUUCGGGAACGUGGCUCCUCCGGGAGUGUUAUAGCCCGUUGCAUAAUACCCUGCGCUGGACUGAGGACCGCGCAUCUGCAAGGAUGCUGGCGUAAUGGUCACCAGCGACCCGUCUUGAAACACGGACCAAGGAGUCGUCUUCGUAUGCGAGUGUUCGGGUGUCAAACCCCUACGCGUAAUGAAAGUGAACGCAGGUGAGAGCUUCGGCGCAUCAUCGACCGAUCCUGAUGUUCUCGGAUGGAUUUGAGUAAGAGCAUACGGGGCCGGACCCGAAAGAAGGUGAACUAUGCCUGUAUAGGGUGAAGCCAGAGGAAACUCUGGUGGAGGCUCGCAGCGGUUCUGACGUGCAAAUCGAUCGUCAAAUAUGGGCAUGGGGGCGAAAGACUAAUCGAACCUUCUAGUAGCUGGUUUCCGCCGAAGUUUCCCUCAGGAUAGCAGUGUUGAUCUCAGUUUUAUGAGGUAAAGCGAAUGAUUAGGGACUCGGGGGCGCUAUAUUGCCUUCAUCCAUUCUCAAACUUUAAAUAUGUAAGAAGCCCUUGUUGCUUAAUUGAACGUGGGCAUUCGAAUGUAUCAACACUAGUGGGCCAUUUUUGGUAAGCAGAACUGGCGAUGCGGGAUGAACCGAACGCGAGGUUAAGGUGCCAGAGUAGACGCUCAUCAGACACCACAAAAGGCGUUAGUACAUCUUGACAGCAGGACGGUGGCCAUGGAAGUCGGAAUCCGCUAAGGACUGUGUAACAACUCACCUGCCGAAUGUACUAGCCCUGAAAAUGGAUGGCGCUCAAGCGUCUCACCCAUACCUCGCCCUCGGGGUAGAAACGAUGCCCCGAGGAGUAGGCGGACGUGGAGGUCGUGACGAAGCCUAGGGCGUGAGCCCGGGUCGAACGGCCUCUAGUGCAGAUCUUGGUGGUAGUAGCAAAUACUUCAAUGAGAACUUGAAGGACC